CACGGGGCUGGGGGAGCCCCUGGAGGAGGGCGUGUUUCAGCUGGGUUGUGAGGAUGAGUGAAAUUUCACCUGGGAGAGGGGAGAAGCCAGUACAUGCUGAGUGCGGCGUGGAGUCAGCAGAGCUCGCAGAGGGCACCCGGGCUGGACAGGGCUGAACAGGGCUCACCUCCCCCAUGCCCCAGCCUCAAGCAUUCUCCCUGCUUCUUCCUGGACUGUCAGAUGGCCCCAGGCCUCUCCAUUGACACACUGCUGAGCAACGCUGAUGAUGCAGAGGUUUUGUGAAAUUUCCCUCUGACGCUGCUACUCUGAUGGUUGGCAUUUCCGGGCUGACUGCAAGAGGCCAUCCUGGUGGGGCUGGACCCCCUUCGCUCUGGCUGGUGAAGUCACAGCUCGGGACACCCAGAAUCCUGGCUCCUCCAAGUACCUCAGCCUGC
rnacentral:lncRNA from 10 species